rnacentral:rRNA from 1 species
CAAUAGCGUAUAUUAAAGUUGUUGCAGUUAAAAAGCUCGUAGUUGGACCUUGGACCUGGACAGGCGGUCCGCCUCACGGCGAGUACUGUCUUGCUGGUCUUUCCUCUUGGUGAUCUGUUGUUUCGGCAGCAGGGAACCAGGACCUUUACUUUGAAAAAAUUAGAGUGUUCAAAGCAGGCUCGACGCCGGAAUAUAUUAGCAUGGAAUAAUAAAAUAGGACGUGCGGUUCUAUUUUGUUGGCUUUUGGAAUCGCCGUAAUGAUUAAUAGGGACAGUCGGGGGCAUUAGUACUCACAUGCUAGAGGUGAAAUUCUUGGAUUUUGUGAAGACUAACUUCUGCGAAAGCAUUUGCCAAGGAUGUUUUCAUUAA